UACGAAGGGGGCUAGCGUUGCUCGGAAUUACUGGGCGUAAAGGGAGCGUAGGCGGAUAGUUCAGUCAGAGGUGAAAGCCCAGGGCUCAACCUUGGAAUUGCCUUUGAUACUGGCUGUCUUGAGUAUGGGAGAGGUUAGCGGAACUCCGAGUGUGGAGGUGAAAUUCGUAGAUAUUCGGAAGAACACCAGUGGCGAAGGCGGCUAACUGGCCCAUUACUGACGCUGAGGCUCGAAAGCGUGGGGAGCAAACAGG
rnacentral:rRNA from 1 species